AGUGAACGCUGGCGGUAGGCCUAACACAUGCAAGUCGAACGGCAGCACAGAGGAGCUUGCUCCUUAGGUGGCGAGUGGCGGACGGGUGAGGAAUACAUCGGAAUCUACUCUGUCGUGGGGGAUAACGUAGGGAAACUUACGCUAAUACCGCAUACGACCUACGGGUGAAAGCAGGGGACCUUCGGGCCUUGCGCGAUUGAAUGAGCCGAUGUCGGAUUAGCUAGUUGGCGGGGUAAAGGCCCACCAAGGCGACGAUCCGUAGCUGGUCUGAGAGGAUGAUCAGCCACACUGGAACUGAGACACAGUCCAGACUCCUACGGGAGGCAGCAGUGGGGAAUAUUGGACAAUGGGCGCAAGCCUGAUCCAGCCAUACCGCGUGGGUGAAGAAGGCCUUCGGGUUGUAAAGCCCUUUUGUUGGGAAAGAAAUCCAGCUGGCUAAUACCCGGUUGGGAUGACGGUACCCAAAGGAUAAGCACCGGCUAACUUCGUGCCAGCCGCCGCAGUAA
rnacentral:rRNA from 1 species